rnacentral:lncRNA from 1 species
CUCAAAGUUAUCCUCCUUUAAAAUUUCUGCUAUGACGUAGGAAAAUGUAGAUGAAACUAUCCUACAUUUGUCCCAAAGCAUGGCUAUAGUCUUUGUAGAAUUAAGUCAUUUAUAAUUUAAAUUCCAUUUUUACAUUUAGAAAACCACAUGAUUAAAUAAGCAUGAAAGCAAUUUAAGCCUUUGUUCUUCAAUACAUAAAUCAUAACUCUGCUGUAAAGAGUAAAGGUUAAUUUCAAAAUGGAAAUAACUUUGUAAAAUCUAUGCAGGACACAAAUAGAAACCGGGAAUGGUAGCACACACCUAUGAUCCCAGGGGGCUGAGGCAGGAAGAGUGCCCUGAGUUAAGAGGCCAGCUUGGGGUACAAAAUGUGUUCAAAGCCAGCUUGAUCUGUAUAGUGUGACCUUGUCUCGAAACAUACACACAUAAGAGAAAGUGUUUUGCUGUCACCAAGACAAUGUGUAAUAUUUGCCAGAUUUCUAGUUUCCUGUUAAACAUCUGAGUUAAAAGCAAGGUAAUGUGCUUCUGACUGAUAGGCACCAGCCUUCCACAUCCACCAUAAGGAUUCAUUUCCUUGACUGUUUAUGUGGAUUAUGUGGAUUAUGUAUUGACUGUUUAUGGAUAUUAAUUGGUACCUGAAUGAUUAUUUGCAGUGGAGGAGAAAAGGUCACUCUACUUAAUAUGCUGUUUUACAUCUCGGCUCCUCACACUUUGUCCUGAGACGAACAAGGAGGCUGCCUCAUCAGCCACUGGGUGCCUUAACAGCAUGCAGCUUACCUGCCUUCACCUCCUUACUCUAACACAGUGAACCAGCUUCAAACUUGAAAAUCCUAAUUGAUUUUCAUUAUUAAAAAAUUCUCCAAUGGCAACUGAAUUAUCAAGGUCAUCAAUGAAAGUACACAUUGAACAUAACAUAGAUUUAUUGGUACUUUCCUCCAGAGAAUUCUGUUCAUCUUGGAAGACAUUGCAAUCUCCAGUGGUUGGAGCUAGGUCUUCAUCAAAAAAGUAUGAUUCUCCUGUGCUUUUGCUCUACCUGCAAAGCGUGUUCGAUUGGCUCAAACUAUAGUCAACUUUGAUCACCUGUGGUCCUCAUUUCCCUGUCAUACAUUUGUAAAAUGUUUAAAUAAACAAGUGUUUAAAAUAAGUACAUGUUUAUACUUCUACCAGUCUGAUUUCUUACCAAAUCAAUAUAUAACUAAUUGACGAGGUAGGACUAAGAAAGUAAAAAUCAUUGAACUUCUCAGUCACCAUAUCAUUUUUAUAGACUCAUAUCACUACAUAGUUUUUCUAACCCUUUUAGUAGAUGGGAAUUAAUGCAAAAUUUUUCUUCUGAGCAUUUUAAAAUGUGUAUUGACUCACAAACCUUAAAUAAUUGAAAUUAGUAUUUGAGGUAAACUAUCAACUCAAAUGCAG